rnacentral:rRNA from 1 species
UACGGGGGGGAGCAAGCGUUGUUCGGAUUUACUGGGCGUAAAGGGCGCGUAGGCGGCCAGCACAAGUCAGUUGUGAAAUCUCCGAGCUUAACUCGGAAAGGUCAACUGAUACUGUGCGGCUAGAGUGCAGAAGGGGCAACUGGAAUUCUUGGUGUAGCGGUGAAAUGCGUAGAUAUCAAGAGGAACACCUGCGGCGAAGGCGGGUUGCUGGGCUGACACUGACGCUGAGGCGCGGAAAGCCAGGGGAGCAAACGGG